AUUGAGCGCUGGCGGCAGGCCUAACACAUGCAAGUCGAGCGGUAGAGAGAAGCUUGCUUCUCUUGAGAGCGGCGGACGGGUGAGUAAUGCCUAGGAAUCUGCCUGGUAGUGGGGGAUAACGUUCGGAAACGGACGCUAAUACCGCAUACGUCCUACGGGAGAAAGCAGGGGACCUUCGGGCCUUGCGCUAUCAGAUGAGCCUAGGUCGGAUUAGCUAGUUGGUGGGGUAAUGGCUCACCAAGGCGACGAUCCGUAACUGGUCUGAGAGGAUGAUCAGUCACACUGGAACUGAGACACGGUCCAGACUCCUACGGGAGGCAGCAGUGAGGAAUAUUGGACAAUGGGCGAAAGCCUGAUCCAGCCAUGCCGCGUGUGUGAAGAAGGUCUUCGGAUUGUAAAGCACUUUAAGUUGGGAGGAAGGGCAGUAAAUUAAUACUUUGCUGUUUUGACGUUACCGACAGAAUAAGCACCGGCUAACUCUGUGCCAGCAGCCGCCGUAA
rnacentral:rRNA from 1 species